GAGGGUUACAAGUGAAAUGGAAAAUUUAGCAUACCUCACGGGGAAGUGCGUAAAAGAAAAUGAUCUUGCAAAAAACCGUAAUUUCCCGCAAGUCUUGGGCCUUUCUACGAAAUCAUGACCUCAGAUUUGAAACCACAUCGUAAUCGACGGAAGCCCUUUACACGAAGGAGUGACAU